UACAGAGGUGGCAAGCGUUGUUCGGAAUUACUGGGCGUAAAGGGCGCGUAGGCGGCCUUCUAAGUCAGACGUGAAAUCCCCAGGCUUAACUUGGGAACUGCGUCUGAGACUGGCCGGCUUGAGUGCAGGAGAGGAACGCGGAAUUCCAGGUGUAGCGGUGAAAUGCGUAGAUAUCUGGAGGAACACCGGUGGCGAAGGCGGCGUUCUGGACUGCUACUGACACUGAGGAACGAAAGCCAGGGGAGCAAACGGG
rnacentral:rRNA from 1 species